UUAUAUGAGAGUUUGAUCCUGGCUCAGGAUGAACGCUGGCGGCGUGCCUAAUACAUGCAAGUCGAACGAGUUCUGAUUAUUGAAAGGUGCUUGCAUCUUGAUUUAAUUUUGAACGAGUGGCGGACGGGUGAGUAACACGUGGGUAACCUGCCCUUAAGUGGGGGAUAACAUUUGGAAACAGAUGCUAAUACCGCAUAAAUCCAAGAACCGCAUGGUUCUUGGCUGAAAGAUGGCGUAAGCUAUCGCUUUUGGAUGGACCCGCGGCGUAUUAGCUAGUUGGUGAGGUAACGGCUCACCAAGGCAAUGAUACGUAGCCGAACUGAGAGGUUGAUCGGCCACAUUGGGACUGAGACACGGCCCAAACUCCUACGGGAGGCAGCAGUAGGGAAUCUUCCACAAUGGACGCAAGUCUGAUGGAGCAACGCCGCGUGAGUGAAGAAGGCUUUCGGGUCGUAAAACUCUGUUGUUGGAGAAGAAUGGUCGGCAGAGUAACUGUUGUCGGCGUGACGGUAUCCAACCAGAAAGCCACGGCUAACUACGUGCCAGCAGCCGCGGUAAUACGUAGGUGGCAAGCGUUAUCCGGAUUUAUUGGGCGUAAAGCGAGCGCAGGCGGUUUUUUAAGUCUGAUGUGAAAGCCCUCGGCUUAACCGAGGAAGUGCAUCGGAAACUGGGAAACUUGAGUGCAGAAGAGGACAGUGGAACUCCAUGUGUAGCGGUGAAAUGCGUAGAUAUAUGGAAGAACACCAGUGGCGAAGGCGGCUGUCUGGUCUGUAACUGACGCUGAGGCUCGAAAGCAUGGGUAGCGAACAGGAUUAGAUACCCUGGUAGUCCAUGCCGUAAACGAUGAAUGCUAGGUGUUGGAGGGUUUCCGCCCUUCAGUGCCGCAGCUAACGCAUUAAGCAUUCCGCCUGGGGAGUACGACCGCAAGGUUGAAACUCAAAGGAAUUGACGGGGGCCCGCACAAGCGGUGGAGCAUGUGGUUUAAUUCGAAGCAACGCGAAGAACCUUACCAGGUCUUGACAUCUUUUGAUCACCUGAGAGAUCAGGUUUCCCCUUCGGGGCAAAAUGACAGGUGGUGCAUGGUUGUCGUCAGCUCGUGUCGUGAGAUGUUGGGUUAAGUCCCGCAACGAGCGCAACCCUUAUGACUAGUUGCCAGCAUUUAGUUGGGCACUCUAGUAAGACUGCCGGUGACAAACCGGAGGAAGGUGGGGAUGACGUCAAAUCAUCAUGCCCCUUAUGACCUGGGCUACACACGUGCUACAAUGGAUGGUACAACGAGUUGCGAGACCGCGAGGUCAAGCUAAUCUCUUAAAGCCAUUCUCAGUUCGGACUGUAGGCUGCAACUCGCCUACACGAAGUCGGAAUCGCUAGUAAUCGCGGAUCAGCACGCCGCGGUGAAUACGUUCCCGGGCCUUGUACACACCGCCCGUCACACCAUGAGAGUUUGUAACACCCGAAGCCGGUGGCGUAACCCUUUUAGGGAGCGAGCCGUCUAAGGUGGGACAAAUGAUUAGGGUGAAGUCGUAACAAGGUAGCCGUAGGAGAACCUGCGGCUGGAUCACCUCCUUU
rnacentral:rRNA from 1 species